GUUAGGAAUAUUGGACAAUGGGCGAAAGCCUGAUCCAGCCAUGCCGCGUGAACGAUGAAGGCCUUCGGGUUGUAAAGUUCUUUAGCCGAUGAUUAUAAUGACUGUAGUCGGAAAAUAAGCCCCGGCUAACUUCGUGCCAGCAGCCGCGGUAAUACGAAGGGGGCGAGCGUUAUUCGGAAUCACUGGGCGUAAAGCGUGCGUAGGCGGCUUUGCAAGUUGGGAGUGAAAGCCCAGGGCUCAACCCUGGAAUUGCUCUCAAAACUGCAAGGCUCGAAUUCGGGAGAGGAUAGCGGAAUUGUCAGUGUAGCAGUGAAAUGCGUAGAUAUUGACAGGAACACCAGUGGCGUAAGCGGCUAUCUGGACCGAUAUUGACGCUGAGGCACGAAAGCGUGGGGAUCAAACAGGAUUAGAUACCCCGGUAGUCC
rnacentral:rRNA from 1 species